UACGAAGGGGGCUAGCGUUGCUCGGAAUUACUGGGCGUAAAGCGCGCGUAGGCGGCUUUGCAAGUCGGGUGUGAAAUCCCCAGGCUUAACCUGGGAACUGCAUUCGAGACUGCAUUGCUAGAGUAUGGGAGAGGGAAGUGGAAUUUCCGGUGUAGCGGUGAAAUGCGUAGAUAUCGGAAAGAACAUCAGUGGCGAAAGCGACUUCCUGGACCAAUACUGACGCUCAUGUGCGAAAGCGUGGGGAGCAAACAGG
rnacentral:rRNA from 1 species